rnacentral:rRNA from 1 species
CCUACGGGUGGCAGCAGUGGGGAAUAUUGCACAAUGGGGGAAACCCUGAUGCAGCGACGCCGCGUGAGUGAAGAAGUAUUUCGGUACGUAAAGCUCUUUCAGCAGGGAAGAAAAAAAGUCCUUUGGACUUUGUACGGUACCUGACUAAGAAGCCCCGGCUAACUACGUGCCAGCAGCCGCGGUAAUACGUAGGGGGCAAGCGUUAUCCGGAUUUACUGGGUGUAAAGGGAGCGUAGACGGCAGCGUAAGUCUGGAGUGAAAUGCCGGGGCCCAACCCCGGAACUGCUUUGGAAACUGUGCAGCUGGAGUGCAGGAGAGGUAAGCGGAAUUCCUAGUGUAGCGGUGAAAUGCGUAGAUAUUAGGAGGAACACCAGUGGCGAAGGCGGCUUACUGGACUGUAACUGACGUUGAGGCUCGAAAGCGUGGGGAGCAAACAGGAUUAGAUACCCCGGUAGUC